GACGGAGGAUGCAAGUAUUAUCCGGAAUCACUGGGCGUAAAGCGUCUGUAGGUGGUUUAAUAAGUCAACUGUUAAAUCUUGAGGCUCAACCUCAAAAUCGCAGUCGAAACUAUUAGGCUAGAGUAUAGUAGGGGUAAAGGGAAUUUCCAGUGGAGCGGUGAAAUGCGUAGAGAUUGGAAAGAACACCGAUGGCGAAGGCACUUUACUGGGCUAUUACUAACACUCAGAGACGAAAGCUAGGGUAGCAAAUGGG
rnacentral:rRNA from 1 species